GAAUUAAUUCUGCCUGUGAAGGGACAAAGGAUCACUUGAGUUCUGGCGGAGGCCUUAUGACAAACACAACUGACUACCACAUGACGGCAUCUUGAGAUUUUUACUGAUUUUUUUGUGGCCAAAUUCUUCUACAGGACUCAUCUAUGGAGUCUGCAGGCAGCAGCUAAGUGAUCAUGGCAUGGUGUGUGACAAAGGAUCUUGUGAGAACUGCACCACCUGAUUAGGGGAGUCAUAGUAGAUUACGAGACAGACUGCAACUGACAACCAAGUGACCAACUGACUAAGCAUGGUGUUAAACCUGAUCCGUUUCAUUAGAGAGUGGUGGAGGUAUAUCCUACUUUACUUCUUCAUGAUGUUCCUCUACUUCGGCAUGGUCAUUGGUUGUUUUUGCUCUUAUGUACUAACCUGCAAGUGUUGUCGACGUCGUCGCAGAAGAUGCCCUAUUCAUUCCGGUCCUAUGACUUCCGGUACUGCAACUUCCGGUACAUUCCACUAUGACACGUCUAUGACAGGGGUGGCAGAGAGGCUCAGGAGAAGUCCUCACAACUACACGAAAAUCACCUACCACUCGGUAGAUCCAUCAAUGAAACGAGUAAAGCGUGUUCUGUACCCAGUAAAUAAUCCUAAUAGCCCAGAAAGAGCCGAAGUUGAUCUUUUUCAUCCAGAUUAUUUUAGAGGUCAUGAUUAGUUACUUCUUGUUUCUUCUAUAUAUAUUUUAACUCUACAAUUUUAGCCUAUAUAUAUUGUUUUGUGUGUUUGAAAAUGUAUAACCCAACCUAUUCUAUUUAGCUGAUUUACGUGUGUCAAUUACAAGACUUAUUGUGUUCAAAGCGUAAUAAGUUGCACUAAGUUACCAAAUAUUUACAAAAUAUAUUAAAACCAUUACUAUUUUAAACUAACUCAGAGUGUGGAAUAAAAAAAAUGAGUUCACUA